GUAAGCUCCCACCUCCACCCACCCCUGCACUCUGAGCAUGAGAGGUGGCCUGUGCACCCAUAACUCAACCUGACUUUUACUUUCUGCAUAUUUUUGCAAUGUAUUGGACAUUAGCAGGGGUGGGUCAGUUCUGCCACUGCAUUAACCUUGGUCCUAUUUCUUCCACUGCCUCAUCUGCAGAUCUUGUUUUGUGUCAACAUUGUAUAGGUGAGGAAUUGGAGAGACUCACCCCUUCUUGGUGGUAAGAUUUCCUGUCCUGCCCCUGACUUAAUAGCCCCACCAGUUGGAGCUUGAGGGUUUAACAUGUGCCAAGUUCCUGCGGUGGGAGGCAGUUAGUUUAGAGGGCAAGCUGUUUGUGCUAUUUAAUAAGAUUGGAGAGGCUGGUGGGAGCGACUCUUCAGCAGCUGAAAGCCAAAGAAAAGAAUUGGUAUAUCCCAAGAGCAAUGAGAAAUCAAAUAAACAACUUCAGAGAACGAAUGUUCCCGGACCCACCGUCGAUAGAACAAUCCAUCAAGGUGUCUGCUGACCACCAGUACGUGACGGUCGACCACUAACCUUUGUUCCUUUUUUUGUACAUCUACAUGUUAACCUCCCCCUCAACCCCCUAUAAAACAGCCUCGGACUCUGAGCCAGUUGCCUCUCUUAGCUAUUUUGCUUUGGGAGUGCCGUCUGGCCAGACUAAUAAAGGUCUGUUUUAUUUUCCAACUUGUCCGGUGUGUUCCUUCCCGGGUGUUCAUCGCUGCAGUCAGCUCCUCAGAGCGUUUGGUUCUCACAACCGUCACUCCUGUCCGACGCCUCGUUCCUGUACAACAUGGAGCCCAUGGGCCUUGAGGGUCCCUGAGCGCUCUGCCAGUGGCCUCUGCUGGGUUCCCUAGCGCUGCUGCUACAGCCGGUAACCUGUGCCCAAGCCACACCGGGCACCCUCAGCACCACGACCACACCAGACACCACUGGCUCUGAGACCACACUUCCAGGGUCCUGGGGCUACGAGAACGUGCUCAGGCCCUGAUGCGGGACUUCCCACUGGUGGGUGUGUAGGUGUCAUGUGGGGACAAAUGGGGGUUCCAAUGGGCAGAAGAGGGUUCCAAGCAUGCAGGGCUAUCAUGUAAGACCGAGGGCCUUACCAAACGCUCCGAGGAGCUGACUGCAGCGAAGAACACCCGGGGAUCCCAGCGGGGCCUAGGGGCCUCCAAAAUGUAAGACCGAGGGCCUUACCAAACGCUCCGAGGAGCUGACUGCAGCGAAGAACACCCGGGAAGGAACACACUGAACAUGUUGGAAAGUAAAACAGACCUUAGUCUGGCCAGACGGCACUCCCAAAGCAAAGUAGCUUAGAGAGGCGACUAGCCCAGAGUCCGAGGCUCUUUUUAUAGGGGGUUGCAGGGGAAGUUAACAGGCGAAAUUUACAGAAGAGGAACAAAGGUUAGUGGUCAGCUGACACGUACUGAUGCUCAGCAGAUGUUUGUAGAUUGUUCUAUAGAUAGCGGUGUCCGGAACAUCAGUUUCGAACAAAGAGUUGAGUAAUUUACUUUGGGACCUUAUGGCUGAUACAGAUCUUAUCUAGUGUCCCUGAACUAACAAGCAUCUUUAUCUAUUUACUCACAUUUACAGUUGGGGCUAGGGGAGUUUUAUGAUUACAGAGUUAUGCAGUCCCACAAUCAAGGAGGCUCUUUCACACUACCCUCGGAUGCCCCGUCUCCCAUUAUCCACAGGUACCCUUCCCCAGCUCUAGUGCUGCCUCUCCAGUGGGAACCCUCCCAGCCCUGGCCUCAGGGCAUCUCAGUAUAGUCUGGGUGACAGUGUGGAGUGGGGGUCCCCGGGGAUGUGUCUUGCCAGACCUGGAAGCCUAAAAGGGCCCGCCCACUUGUCCUUGACCUUGACCCUGCCUUAACAUCCUUCCAGCCACAAAGACCUGCCCUUGGUCCUGAGGCAAUUUUACCAGGAUUCACUACAGAAUGUCAACCUUCGCAAUUUCAGCCAUGGCCAGACCAGCCUAGACAAGCUUAGAGAUGGCCUCGUGGGUGCUCAGGUACUACAGGGACACAGAGGGUGACUGUGGUUAGCCACAGGGAACUCACUUACCAUAAUAAUGACCCGAAAAGAUGCUGGACCAGCGAGGGCUACAGCCAGCUGGCUUGGUGGGCAGGACAGUACUAUAGAACCAGCAAUGCAUUACAUGUGGCCUCCAGGCCCACUGGGUGCUGUGGCAGCUGUGGAGGCCCCAGGAAUUCCAAAAUAGCCCCUGCCAGGCCAACCCCUGACUUUCCCCCCAGUUCUGGUCAGCCUACGUCCCAUGUCAGACCCAGAACUGGGAUGCUGUGCACCUCACCCUGGAGCAGAUAGACCUCAUCUGCCACAUGUGUGCCUCCUACUCUGAGCGGGAGCUGGUGACCUCAGCUGAAGCUCUGAACAGCACCCAGAAAUUGGCCUGCCUCAUUGGUGUGGAGGGUAGCCACUCGCUGGACAGUAGCCUCUCCAUCCUGCAUACCUUCUAUGUGCUGGGAGUGCGCUACCUCAUGCUUACACACACCUGCAACACACCCUGAUGUCUGCAUAUGCAUCCCUGACACCCUCCUCCCAACCUGUCCCUGCAGAAGGUGGUAACAGAAAUGAAUUGCCUGGGCAUGAUGGUAGACUUGUCUCAUGUUUCUGAUCCUGUGGCCCGGAGGGCCUUGGAAGUGUCACAGGCACCUGUGAUCUCCUCAAACUCAGCUGUCCAAGGUAUGUGCAACAACACUCGGAAUGUUCCUGAUGACAUCCUGCAGCUUCUGGUGAGAAACUGCCCAGCCUCAGAACCUAAAGCAAGAGUUUCAAACUUGAGCUCCUGUUCCCUUGACUUCCUCAGACCCCCAGCUAAACAUCUUCUGCCCCACAAACCCACAGUGCUGAACCCUUGAAUCCAGUGGGUGUAAGGAGGUGGUUCUAGAUGAUAAAUAUUUCUCUACCUCUCAAACCCAAAGCCAAACACCUCCAACCUGGCCUGAGACUCCCCUAUUCACACAAACUCAGAAAGGUGAAAUAUCUCCUGGCUUCCAAAAUCAGGGCUCACAUGGCUCUGGGGGUAGGCAAGGACCCAAGAUGAGUGUUCAUUUGACUAUUCCUGCAGGAGAAGAACGGUGGCAUUGUGAUAGUGUCCUUGUCUGUAGGGGUGCUGCAGUGCAACCUGUUAGCCAAUGUGUCCACUGUAGCAGGUGAGCCCUCGUGCUCUCUGAACAGCUCUGAUUUGGACCUGAAGCUUUGGUGGGGGGGUCUCGGCACAGCUCCAGGAGUCUGACCAAAAAUCUCAUGAUGGACAGACAUUACAGAGCACCUUGGUGUUAUGUAGAACCAGAGCCACAGAGUCCACAUCGCCACGCUGAUGGGGAUGGGAAAGGAGCCAGAUAUAGAGCUGAGUGCUGACCCCGUGUGCCCCCUAGGGGGCUACCAAAGCACCCUACCUCCGCCUUAGGUCUCUGGAGUCUGUCAGCUGCACUUUUUAUCCCUCUUUCGUCUUCCACACAACUGGAAAGAGGCCCUACUAAGUUCCCAAAGAGACUGAAGGCAGGGUGAAUCUGGAGGGGAAAUGACCCCAAUGGCUGUCAUUCUAAAUGGGCUCACUCCAGACUUGAAGUCCAGUCUAGAGCUAGCUGGGAUCAGUUAAAGACAAACCUCAGAGACUUCAGAUAGCCACACAAGGCAUGGGCAAUGAAGGAACUGGCCUGCUGGGUACAAGCAGAGUCCAGAUUGAGGGCACCCCUGUCCAAGAAACCCCAUACUACUCUCCAUCUCCCAGAUCACUUUGACCACAUCAAAGCAGUUAUCGGGUCCAAAUUCAUCGGGAUUGGUGGAGAUUAUGAUGGCACCAGCCAGUGAGUACUGCCCUGUGGCUUAUCUGGGGCUGCUUUGAAGGCACCACCCACCCUACCAUGGUCCUCAUAGCCUUUAGACCUUAGCCACCCAGCAUCUCCCAUUCUCAGGGUCUGUUUCCUCCAAUCUCCUGUCUGCCUUCAGCCCAGUCUCCCUACUCUAAGGCAUCAUAUUUAGCCAAGCCACCAGACAACUCAUCUGCCCAGUCCAUGCACCCAGCCCAGCCCCAGCAGAUUGUCAACAAUGUCUGGUGUAAGCUGACCAUCUUCUCUGCCCAGUUCUGAAGAUGGAGGGGAGGUGCAUUCAGCGGAAGGUAUAGAUCUUAAAAGUGCAGUUCAGUGACUUUUGGCAAAUAUUCAAGGAGGUUUUGGAGCCUCCUCUGAAGGGUGCAGAGCAGGGGCAAAUCACUUGCUGUCUCCAAGUCUCCAGUUCACACAUCUGACGGGGGCUGGAGUACAAACCACCAGGACACACAGGGCUGGGACUCUGAGUUGGGAUCAGGGUACCAACUCAGAGAACCAUCUGCUGGUGGCCACACAGGUUCCCUGAGGGGCUGGAGGAUGUGUCCACAUACCCUGUGCUGAUAGAGGAGCUGCUGAGUCGGGGCUGGAGUGAGGAGGAGCUUCAAGGUGUGCUUUGAGGAAACCUGCUUCGGGUCUUCAGGCGAGUGGAGCAGGUUGGGGAGGAAAACAAGUGGCAAAGCCCACUGGAGGAUAAGGUCCCAGAGGAACAGCUGGACAGGGGUUGCCGCUCUAUCCUCCCACAUCAGCAUCAGAGACCACAACUGGUUCCAAACCAGACUCCAACCAAAAGCCCAUCACAUCUAGCGCCUAUGUUAUCUCACAGGUGGUCAUCCUCAAAAUCUUCCCCCAGCCUGGUCUCAGGCCUCACAGUGGUUACCAUUUUCUGACCCAGUUAGCCCUGCCAGAUGUCACUUUGGCAGCCUUGGACAGCCCACAAAGGUCCCUCCUUGUGCAGAUACAAACAUUUCCUGGAAAUAAAUGUUUUGGACAUGGA
rnacentral:lncRNA from 1 species